rfam:Triticum aestivum genome assembly, contig: Triticum_aestivum_CS42_TGACv1_scaffold_404210_5BL
UUGCUACUCCCUCCGUCCGGAAAUACUUGUCGAAAAAUGGUUGUAUCUAGACAUAUUUUAAUUCUAGAUACAUCCAAUUUUAUCUAUUUGUGCGAUAAGUAUUUCAGGCGGAAGGAGUACGUU